GACGAACGCUGGCGGCGUGCCUCAUACAUGCAAGUAGAACGCAGUUUCGAACGGGUGAGCAACGCGUCUGUAACUGCCUCAUAGCGGGGGACAACUAUUGGAAACUAUAGCUAAUUCCGCCUACUGUCAGAUGGACUUGCAUUGUAGUAGCUAGUUGGUGAGGUAACUGCUCACAAAGGCUACGAUACAUAGCCGACCUGAGAGGGUUAUCGGCCACACUGGGUCUGAGACACGGCCCAGACUCCUACGUGAGGCAGCAGUAGGGAAUCUUCGGGAAUGGGCUGAAGUCUGACAGAGCAACGCCGCGUGAGUGAAGAAGGUUUUCGGAUCGUAAAGCUCUGUUAUUAGGGAAGCGGUAACUAACCAGAGAGGGAGGGCUAACUACGUGCCAGCGGCGGAGUAAUAC
rnacentral:rRNA from 1 species